rnacentral:lncRNA from 1 species
UCGCGGUUGCUCAAUGACCGAUUUCUUUCUAUAUGCUUGGAAGCAAAACUCUUUAUCCACACCUUUUCUAAAUAUCUCUCUCUCACACACACAAUAAUGUAUCAGACUAUGUUUAUCAUCUAAAAAAUCUAAAAGUAAGUAGUAGCAUGAAACAAAAAUGAAGAGAAGAAAUGGUAAGUGUUAUUCUUACCUUUUGAUUCACGUGGAACAUGUUUUAUUACAAAAGAAGUAAAGAGAGAGGAUAAACUUCGUACCUUUU